UGAGUAACACGUGAGUGACCUGCCUUUUAAACUGGAACAACUUACCGAAAGGUGAGCUAAUGCCGGAUGAGUUAUAUAAGUGCAUGUUUAUAUAGGAAAAGUUGGGGAGACCUGACGCUGAAAGAUGGACUCGCGUCCCAUUAGCUAGUUGGUAGGGUAAUGGCCUACCAAGGCGACGAUGGGUAGCCGGCCUGAGAGGGUGGCCGGCCACACUGGGACUGAGACACGGCCCAGACUCCUACGGAAGGCAGCAG
rnacentral:rRNA from 1 species